AGCUGUGAGUUAUGCACAGAGCGAACUAUUCUUUCGCCUUUUACUAAAGAAUACCGUGUGCAUGUCUCAUUAAGCAGCAUAUGCCUAUUUUUGGAAGGGUUCUCCUUAUGGAGGACU